rnacentral:rRNA from 1 species
GUAGGUGGCAAGCGUUGUCCGGAAUUAUUGGGGCGUAAAGCGCGCGCAGGCGGUUCUUUAAGUCUGAUGUGAGAGCCCACGGGCUCAACCGUGGAGGGUCAUUGGAAACUGGAGAACUUGAGUACAGAAGAGGAAAGCGGAAUUCCACGUGUAGCGGUGAAAUGCGUAGAGAUGUGGAGGAACACCAGUGGCGAAGGCGGCUUUCUGGUCUGUAACUGACGCUGAGGCGCGAAAGCGUGGGGAGCAAACAGGAUUAGAUACCCUGGUAGUCCACGCCGUAAACGAUGAGUGCUAAGUGUUAGGGGGUUUCCGCCCCUUAGUGCUGCAGCUAACGCAUUAAGCACUCCGCCUGGGGAGUACGGCCGCAAAGGCUG